AUUGAACGCUGGCGGCAGGCCUAACACAUGCAAGUCGAACGAGUGGCGGACGGGUGAGUAUUGUCUGGGAAACUGCCCGAUGGAGGGGGAUAACUACUGGAAACGGUAGCUAAUACCGCAUACCAUCGGAUGUGCCCAGAUGGGAUUAGCUAGUAGGUGGGGUAACGGCUCACCUUGGCGACGAUCCCUAGCUGGUCUGAGAGGAUGACCAGCCACACUGGAAAUGAGACACGGUCCAGACGCCUACGGGAGGCAGCAGUGGGGAAUAUUGAAGAAUGGGCGCAAGCCGGAUGCAGCCGUGCCGCGUGUGUGAAGAAGGCCUUCGGGUUGUAAAGUACGUUCAGCGAGGAGGCGUUACGCGCAGAAGAAGCACCGGCUAACUCCGUGCCAGCAGCCGCGGUAAUAC
rnacentral:rRNA from 1 species